AGAGUUUGAUCCUGGCUCAGAACGAACGCUGGCGGCAUGCCUAACACAUGCAAGUCGAACGAACUCUUCGGAGUUAGUGGCGCACGGGUGCGUAACGCGUGGGAAUCUGCCCUUGGGUGCGGAAUAACUCAGAGAAAUUUGUGCUAAUACCGUAUAAUGUCUUCGGACCAAAGAUUUAUCGCCCAAGGAUGAGCCCGCGUAAGAUUAGCUAGUUGGUGAGGUAAAAGCUCACCAAGGCGACGAUCUUUAGCUGGUCUGAGAGGAUGAUCAGCCACACUGGGACUGAGACACGGCCCAGACUCCUACGGGAGGCAGCAGUGGGGAAUAUUGGACAAUGGGCGAAAGCCUGAUCCAGCAAUGCCGCGUGAGUGAUGAAGGCCUUAGGGUUGUAAAGCUCUUUUACCCGGGAUGAUAAUGACAGUACCGGGAGAAUAAGCUCCGGCUAACUCCGUGCCAGCAGCCGCGGUAAU
rnacentral:rRNA from 1 species